rnacentral:rRNA from 1 species
UGGGGAAUAUUGCACAAUGGGCGCAAGCCUGAUGCAGCCAUGCCGCGUGUAUGAAGAAGGCCUUCGGGUUGUAAAGUACUUUCAGCGGGGAGGAAGGGAGUAAAGUUAAUACCUUUGCUCAUUGACGUUACCCGCAGAAGAAGCACCGGCUAACUCCGUGCCAGCAGCCGCGGUAAUACGGAGGGUGCAAGCGUUAAUCGGAAUUACUGGGCGUAAAGCGCACGCAGGCGGUUUGUUAAGUCAGAUGUGAAAUCCUCGGGCUCAACCUGGGAACUGCAUCUGAUACUGGCAAGCUUGAGUCUCGUAGAGGGGGGUAGAAUUCCAGGUGUAGCGGUGAAAUGCGUAGAGAUCUAGAGGAAUACCGGUGGCGAAGGCGGCCCCCUGGACGAAGACUGACGCUCAGGUGCGAAAGCGUGGGGAGCAAACAGG